GCCGCCUUCAGCACCAAAAAGAGCGUUAUUGUUUCAGUUUGUCUCACCGCCCUUGAACAAACACAGAGAGACGCUGCUGCUUCUCAUCGACCCAGUGGAGCGUAUGGAAACGGGAAAAUUCUUCUACGGGACAAGUGCGAGCUUUCGAGGGAAACGGAGCCUCCAGCCGUCUCACCACCCGCGCCAACACUGACCACAUCUGGGGAGCACGCGCCUUUGUGUUCGCCUUAUCGGGGAAGGGUUAGGGCCACUGGGAGCUAACACAACUGAUGAAAGACCAGAAGCGCAGGCUUAGGUCAGCAGGAAUCAAGGAAACGCUGUGGGUCAAGACGCAGGAAGGAGGAACACCGGCCACCUCCUUUGACCGGGACAGAGGUCAGGACGGCAUCAGUGACACACAACGGCUAUUGCCACGAAGAGAACUGGCUCUGGCAGAAUGGAAGGCCACGGCGGAGAGCGUCUGACGCCCCACUGACGCAGCCAGGAGAUGGAACUAGCGCUGCCCCUUCGGACCAAGUUACCGCUCUGAGAGCUACCCUGGAGGGUCUCUAAAGCCUGGCCGGCACAUGGCCACACCCUUAUCUAGGGCUGUCGCUGCUUCUGCAUUCCAGCGACAGACCCGAGGAGUUGGGACAGAAACGGUAGGCGGCCCUCAGUGGCCAGAGGGCCACCCGGCCACUUACAGAGAAAGGGUGCCUGCCCUUGGCAGCGGUUUAAGGACACAACCCCCGGUACCGAUCUCUGUCCGGUCACUUACGAAUUCCGUGACUCCGGGAAGGUCACACGCUCCGUGGGUGCCACGGUUUCUUCUCUGUAAAGCGCAGUAACAGUGGUGAUGAGAGGUUGUUGCCAGGAUGAAAUGAGUUGAUACCUGGGAAGUGCGGGACCAAGGAGGUCAUCUGUGCGGAGGCCCAGGCGGUGACCUUGUGUUUUGGACUCUUGGCCGGAAGAAUUCUUGACCUGACACUGUCCCGGGCAGCAGACUUUCGGUCCGACACCCGAGUGGAGGCGUCCACGGUCAGACGGCCGAACGCACCGAGAGCUGCGGGGAUCGGGAGGGACCGGGGGAGGACGGAACCGGAUCAGCCAAGGCCCCGCUGGGAACAAACGCGCCGACUGUACAGGGGACGACUUGGAGAGCUGAGCCUGCGUGCGGCCAGCCCCUCCACAGGGAGACGGAUGUGGGUUUCAGCUUUGUUUGUUUGUUUGUUUGUUUGCUGCUAUUGAAGAACAAAAAGAAGAGGAGCCGGUUUCUUUUCUCCUCCUUGACCGACCCAUCCCUGCAAGAGGACAGGGUUUCUUUCUUUUCUUUUUUUCUUUUUCUUUUUUUUUGCUCACGCUCACAGCACGGGGAAGAUCCUGGGCCAGGGAUUGAACCCAAAGCCACAGCAGCAACCCGGGCCACUGCAGUGACAACGCCGGAUCCUUAACCCACCGUGCCACAAGGGCAUUCCAAGGACAAGAUUUCUGAUUCAUGGAGUCUUGAAAAGAAGCUGAAGGUGGAAGCAGUUCUCCCAAGAUGGGAGAGGGUUUGGAAGACCUGAGGGGACCCCGAAGACAGGACACCCAUUUUAAUACAAAGCAUCAACUGCCACACCAACGGGAGCUCCAUCUCAGGCCAUGUUAAUAGAAGCAGGUCUUGUAGAAAGAGGGAGGUGAUCUCCUUCCACCUCCUCUGGCCAGCCCUGGUCUACCGUGGGCAAACCCUUCCUAUCAGUUAUGCCGGGUUUUCUUCACCCUCAGCAUCCCUGAUCCGAGGAGCGGCUGAUAAAGGCCCGUAGUUCUGGUCUUUCAAACCUCCGCAAUUAUGCAGAAUUUACCCCUCUCCCCUGGUGAAAGUGGGCCUGGGGGAUGAGUCCGGCUGCAGGUCAAGAAUUCUACUUUAUCAGCAGCUACAAAAACAUUAACCUGAUCCCCGGGGGCGAAGUGUAGCUGGUUCGGCAGCUCCUGGAGUCGCCUGGCCUUAGGAGAGCCUGUGUCUCCCAGUGGCCUCAGAGAUUGGGUGGCCCCUCGCAGGGUCUCCAAGGACCCGGCCGUGUGCUUACAGCCUGGUUUCCCACCCUCAUCUCCCCUUUACACAUGUACGAUUCUGCCAAAAGAGAGCACGGUCCAGCUUUUUC
rnacentral:lncRNA from 1 species